rnacentral:rRNA from 1 species
CCUACGGGCGGCUGCAGUGGGGAAUCUUGGACAAUGGGCGCAAGCCUGAUCCAGCCAUGCCGCGUGGAUGACGAAGGCCUUCGGGUUGUAAAAUCCUUUCGGCGGGGACGAUAAUGACGGUACCCGCAGAAGAAGCUCCGGCUAACUUCGUGCCAGCAGCCGCGGUAAUACGAAGGGGGCUAGCGUUGUUCGGAUUUACUGGGCGUAAAGCGCGUGUAGGCGGAUCGUUAAGUCGGGGGUGAAAGCCCGGAGCUCAACUCCGGAAUUGCCUUCGAUACUGGCGGUCUGGAGCAUGUCAGAGGCGAGUGGAAUUGCGAGUGUAGAGGUGAAAUUCGUAGAUAUUCGCAGGAACACCAGUGGCGAAGGCGACUCGCUGGGACAUUGCUGACGCUGAGACGCGAAAGCGUGGGGAGCAAACAGGAUUAGAUACCCUUGUAGUC